ensembl:lncRNA
CCGACUGGGGAAUAGAGAAGUAAAGUGUAGCUGAGGUUUAGAGCCGGUGGGCUGGCAGGGCUUUGGGAGUUAUGGGAGCAAAGGGGGAGGAGGUUUACACGGGACGAGUAAACCAAGUUUGGCGUAAGGGGGGGGGGGGGCGAGUUGAGUCAGGGGGGACAUGGAUGGGGACCGGGGGGGCGGUGCAUGUCUCAGACACAAUAAUGCUAUUCAUUGGGCUCAGACAUGGGUGUUAACUCCCCCCUGACGGAGCACAAUGGCGCUCGGCGGCAUCGAGGCAGCCUCGGCGAUAUUGUUAGCUCAGGGCUGCAUUCUCCCCGCCCGCGGGACGGAGCGCCGCCAUUGUGCCCGUCCGCCACGACGGAUGGAGGGAGGGUUGAGGGGGUGAAAGGCGGAGAAAGAGAGAAUGGGGCGUUUGUCAGUCUGUCAGUGGUCGUUGGAGCGCCGGGCGGAGGAGGCUGGGAGGGGCGGAGGAGUGUUGUGCCCCAUGGCUUUGGACUUGUUUUUUUUUUUAUUUUCAAGGGGAUGGGGACGUAGACGAUGCGAGGAAGACAUGGCGGCGUUUGUCAGAGGUGGGGGCGGCGGGGGGGGCGUGCGUUUGGAAAGAGGGAGAGCGCGCAGGAAGAGAAGCGGCGGGAUGCGCGGAGGAUGCUGCUGCCUGUGACAUCAGACUACCGCGAGACCUCCUGUCCCAGAGGAGCGGGGGGCCGGGGGGGGGACGCAUAGCGUGUUGUGCCGGCGUUUUGAUCACAUGUCUCUUUUUUAACUGGGUCUCCGUCCAGUACGGUUAUCUGAAUAUUGGAAGUGGUUCAUUUAAGAUGAACUAAUUGGCAGAAAACGUGUGAAUCUGCCGCUCGCUCACAUUGCGGAGCAUUAAAUAUGUUUGGUUGGGGCUGUUUGUCUCGUGUUGCCUUCAGGGCCCAAAGGCAUCUCACCAAAUUCCCUCGCACGCUGCAGCCGCGGGACGCUUAUGAAGCGGCGGAUCUAUGGACGUAGGGUAUGGGUGAGGAGGACGGGGACACACAAGGAAGCAGGGUGCACGUAUCUGAUCUGCGAUGACACACAACCCACGCG